GACAGAGGGGGCAAGCGUUGCUCGGAAUUACUGGGCGUAAAGGGCGCGUAGGCGGGAUGGCAAGUCGGUCGUGAAAUCCCUCGGCUCAACUGAGGAUCGUCGAUCGAUACUGCCGUUCUUGAGGAUUGCAGAGGAGACUGGAAUUCCCGGUGUAGCGGUGAAAUGUGUAGAGAUCGGGAGGAACACCGGUGGCGAAGGCGGGUCUCUGGGCAAUUCCUGACGCUGAUGCGCGAAAGCUAGGGGAGCGAACGGG
rnacentral:rRNA from 1 species